CCUGCCGUGACUACGUGAUGCGAUCUGAUGGCUCAGAGGCUGAUUGCUGUCCUCUGCAUCCUGCUGGCUGCUCAGG
ensembl:miRNA